GGCAUAUUUGAUAUAUAUCUCUAGUCAUUGUGACGUUGUUAUUUAUAUUACGUUCUGCAGUUUCUAAAUGUUCAUUCUCGUCUUUGCUCUCUCCUGAGACGAUCUCGGCUGCUAACCACCUGUACAGACUUCAAUUAUAUCUAAAACGGUGCCUUUUUUUUCAUCGCACAGUCUGAAAGUUUCAAAUCAUGAAGACCUACGUUGCUGGCUUUUUGUUAUUCCUAGUUGGCUUUCAGGCCUCACAAGUUUUUGGAGCCAGGAUUAAAAGAUCGCCGUAUGACGUGGGUCAAGAACAUUGCCCUAAACUAGACUUCGAAGAUGAGUGUAAAUUGAAUGACCCUUGUGCCCAAUCACCAUGCGCGGUAGGAGUCACAUGCCGUCCUUGUAAUGGUUGUGAAAGUUAUGAUUGUUCAUCGUUUGAUUGGAGUACUGAGAAACGAUGAAAGCUCCACGCCAUUGAUAUCCAUAGAAGUCCGCUUGUAGUUUAAAGCAAACUGU